GACAAUUAUCUCUUUUUUGCGGGUGCUAUUAUGUUCUUAUUCUUCUCCAAACCCGAUGAUCGCUGUCGUCUAAUCUACCGCGCGCAAGCCUCCCCUCGGGGCUAGAUCUCCGGUCUCCGCUUGCCCAAUUUCCACCACUGAGGCGAUGCAGGAAGCCAAGCACCUCACCACCUCAAAGCUUCCGCCGCAAUCCCAAUCCUCAUCCCCAUCCCCUUCGGCUCCCGCCGCGAACCCUCCCCCAUACCAUCACGACUAUGGUACCUUUCACCGGCCGUUUCAGCCGACGCUGCCCGUCGUAGGCCCCGCCUACCAUGACUACCAUGCCUCUCCUAUCGGGUUCGGCAGCCAGGGGUUCGUUGCCUCCCCGGGCGCCGUCCAGCAGCAGGUCUUCGUGGAGGGCAUCCCCGUCCGAGAGCCGCCCCUACCGUUCUGCGGCGUCGGCGUCGGCUGGUUUUUGUUCUUAUUGGGGUUCUUCUUGGCGGCAAUCCCCUGGUAUGCUGGUGCGUUCCUUCUAUUCUUUGUUGCUUUGGACCACAGAGAGAAGCCUGGAUUAAUCGCAUGCACCGUUGCUGGCAUAUUUGCACUAGUUCCAUUCAUCCUGAACGGUAUCAGAUUGAACCCUUUCUGGUGAUCAGUGCUUGCCAAUCCAGAUCCACAUGACUAAUGUUUUCAGCACCACAUUCGAUAUGUUCAUAGCUGUAUUAUUUUGCUCAAACUUGCGAAGAACAAAAUAUAUGAGCUUAUGUGUAAAAAGGAAUUGCCAUGCUGUUUUAUGUCCGCAGCAGGUUCAUGCCCUGUGAUAUGUGUAAUCAUGAAUUGUACAGUUUAUCUGUACCGCAGCAGUUUACGAGAGGUCUAGUAAAAGCACAUUUUACCCAUCUUUUGAAUUUGCCUUACAAUCUUGUCAAUCUCCUAUAACACCAGUCAGCAUCCCAUCCAUUUUUCCUUCUCUUUAUAGAUGACUAGAUGUACCAUGAAGCUGGAAAUGGGGCUUCGGGGAUACAUGUCACAGUGAAUUUUCAAAUCCUGUGUAAGUGAUCCAUAUUCAGGCCAUUGCAGCUGUUUACAGGCCUCACGUUGGGGCCUGGAGCUUUGCUACUGGUUAUUCGAGUUGCUUUGGUAAUCCAUGCCGGACGACUGCUCGAACUCCCCGGUGUACUCCUCGGAGGCGAAGGCGGUGGCACGGAGCUGCUGGAUGGCGGCCGCUUGCUGGUGGCCGGAGUCGAAAUUCCGGCUCUGCCCCACCUUCACCCCAUUGCUUAGGUCGGACAUGCCUCCUUCGUCGUCCAGUGCCCUCAUCACCUGCACGAACGAACAACGCAAACGACGUCUGGUUUCCAGUCCCCAGCACUGCCGGUUUAAUUCGCAGAUGUAUGUAUGUAUAUAUAUAUACCUGCACCAUCCGCGGGCGCUUGGGAGCCGAGUGGCGGACGCAGGCGGACGCGGCCUCCACCAUCACCAUCAUCUGGCCCCUGUCGUAGGCGGCGCCGCCGUCCACCAGCCGGGGGUCGACCACCGCGCCGAGGUCGCCCGUCUCGAUGGCGUCCACGAGGACGGGCCGCGCCUGGCAGCGCGACAGGGCUAGCGUACGUCAGUGAAACCGACGACAGGCCGCGUGCGCUAGCGUCGAUCGUCGACGUACGCACCCACUCGACGAGGCUCUCCUCCCCUUGGCGCGCUUGGUCCACCGGCUUCCGUCCCGUGAUGAGCUCCAGCAGCACGACGCCGAAGGAGAACACGUCGGACCGGUCCGUCAGCUUCCCGCUCGACGCGUACUCGGGCGCAAGGUACCUGCAUUGCAUGCAUGCGUUAAUUUCAUGUCAUUAUUAUUAUUAUAUAUUGUCGCGGUGCAAAUGGAUCGCCAGCUAGCCUCUGCAGGUAUGGUUUGGUUUCGGAAGCUAAGACUGAAGAUGCAUGGACCGGGGAAGAGAAUGAAUACUGGACUGACGUGGACGCACCCAAACGUCCCCAUGAUGCGAGUGGAGACAUGCGUGUUCGUGUCGUUGGUGAGCUUGGCCAGGCCGAAAUCUGCAACCUGCGCACCACAUCUCAACACGGCCCGGACCGCAGAGGUGAGACCGUGACCGUGAGACAGCAGCAGCAGCUAGCUAGCAUUCUACUACUUUAUUUAAUGAAUAAUAAUAGUCCUCGUCAGCCAUGCCUGUGCUUGGAACGAAUAGUCAAGCAGGAUGUUGGCGGACUUUAUAUCCCUGUGGAUGAUCCUCGGGUGACCUGCAAAUGUAAAAGCACGUACAGCAUCCGUCAGGAAGAAGAAAAUAAUGAACAUUGUUGCUGUGUUGUGCAUCAAUGAGACCACUGGUCCAAUAUAUACAGGAUUAUUAGGC